CAGCAGGCGCGAAAACUUUACAAUGCCGGCAACGGCGAUAAGGGGACCUCGAGUGCCAGGUUACAAAUCUGGCUGUCGUGAUGCCUAAAAAGCAUUGCAUAGCAAGGGCCGGGCAAGACCGGUGCCAGCCGCCGCGGUAACACCGGCGGCUCGAGUGGUAACCGUUAUUAUUGGGUCUAAAGGGUCUGUAGCCGGCCGGAUAAGUCUCUUGGGAAAUCUGGCAGCUUAACUGUCAGGCUUUCAGGAGAUACUGUCUGGCUCGAGGCCGGGAGAGGUGAGAGGUACUUCAGGGGUAGGGGUGAAAUCUUGUAAUCCUUGAAGGACCACCAGUGGCGAAGGCGUCUCACCAGAACGGACCUGACGGCAAGGGACGAAAGCUAGGGGCACGAACCGGAUUAGAUACCCGGGUAGUCCUAGCCGUAAACGAUACUCGCUAGGUGUCGGCCACGGUGCGACCGUGGUCGGUGCCGUAGGGAAGCCGUGAAGCGAGCCACCUGGGAAGUACGGCCGCAAGGCUGAAACUUAAAGGAAUUGGCGGGGGAGCAC
rnacentral:rRNA from 1 species